UACGUAGGUGGCAAGCGUUGUCCGGAAUUAUUGGGCGUAAAGCGCGCGCAGGCGGUUCUUUAAGUCAGGGGUGAAAGCCCAGAGCUCAACUCUGGAAUUGCCUUUGAAACUAGAGAACUUGGGUACGGGAGAGGUGAGUGGAAUUCCGAGUGUAGAGGUGAAAUUCGUAGAUAUUCGGAAGAACACCAGUGGCGAAGGCGGCUCACUGGCCCGUUACCGACGCUCAGGCGCGACAGCGUGGGGAGCAAACAGG
rnacentral:rRNA from 1 species